rnacentral:rRNA from 1 species
GCUACACAUGCAGUCAACGAGAAAGGGGUAGCAAUAUCCUGAGUAAAGUGGCGCACGGGUGAGUAACACGUAGGUAAUCUGCCAUUAGGACGGGGACAACCACGCGAAAGCGUGGCUAAUACCCGAUGAAUCAGCGAUGCCGCAUGGUAUUGCUGUUAAAUACCGCAAGGUGCCUAAUGAUGAACCUGCGUCCCAUUAGGUAGUUGGUGAGGUAACGGCUCACCAAGCCGACGAUGGGUAGCUGGUCUGAGAGGAUGAUCAGCCACACUGGAACUGAGACACGGUCCAGACUCCUACGGGAGGCAGCAGUGAGGAAUAUUGCGCAAUGGCCGAAAGGCUGACGCAGCGACGCCGCGUGAAGGAUGAAGUCCGUUAGGAUGUAAACUUCUUUUGCAGGGGAUGAAUGUGGCGCUAUAUGCGCCAUUGACCGUACCUUGCGAAUAAGGAUCGGCUAACUACGUGCCAGCAGCCGCGGUAAUACGAAGGGUGCGAGCGUUAAUCGGAAUUACUGGGCGUAAAGCGCGCGUAGGUGGUUUAGUAAGCGAUAUGUGAAAGCCCUGGGCUUAACCUAGGAACUGCAUGUCGAACUGCUAGGCUAGAGUAUGGUAGAGGGGUGUGGAAUUUCCGGUGUAGCGGUGAAAUGCGUAGAUAUCGGAAGGAACAUCAGUGGCGAAGGCGACACCCUGGCCCAAUACUGACACUGAGGCGCGAAAGCGUGGGUAGCGAACAGGAUUAGAUACCCUGGUAGUCCACGCCGUAAACGAUGUCUGCUAGCUGUUG